rnacentral:rRNA from 1 species
AACGGCCGCGGUAUCCUGACCGUGCAAAGGUAGCAUAAUCAUUUGCCUAUUAAUUGUAGGCUAGCAUGAAUGGACAAACGCGAACUACGCUGUCUCCUCCAAGCAAUUAAAAAUUUAUUUUUAAGUGAAGAAGCUUAAAUACUCUCGCAGGACAAGAAGACCCUAUAGAGCUUUACCUUAAACCUUAAUUUAUGGGCUAACGGUUCGGUUGGGGCGACCAAGGAACUCUAAACAUCCUUAAUUUAUUAGAUAUACAAAUCUCUUCAAAGAUCCUUUAUAAAGAUCAUAGAAUCAAGCUACCUUAGGGAUAACAGGCUAAUUCCUCUAGAGAGCCCUUAUUGACAGAGGAGGUUGGCACCUCGAUGUUGGCUUAGGACCUCUUUAUGACGCAGCAGUCAUAACUAGAUGGUUUGUUCAACCAUU